UGCCAGCCGCCGCGGUAACACGGGGGGCGCAAGCGUUAUUCGGAAUUAUUGGGCGUAAAGGGCGCGCAGGCGGUCUUGUCCGUCAGGUGUGAAAGCUCGGGGCUCAACCCCGGAAGUGCACUUGAAACUGGAAGUCUGGAGUUCAGGAGAGGUUAGCGGAAUACCGAGUGUAGAGGUGAAAUUCGUAGAUAUUCGGUGGAACACCAGUGGCGAAGGCGGCUUUCUGGACCGAUACUGACGCUGAGACGCGAAAGCGUGGGGAGCAAACAGGAUUAGAUA
rnacentral:rRNA from 1 species